CUCCUGCGACGCGCAAAUAUGAGCUCUGGUAGGCUGACAUCACCUAUGGAGUGACGGCUUACUUCCGCCCUUCCCUCCGCUCUGUGAGAGCUCCAGGCUCUGUUCCAGCGGCUGUAAGAGUAGAUGUUUGUUGACCAUCGAGAACAGGACUUUCCUGAGGAAUAGAAGUCACGUGACCUGCAGUAAGCUCUGCCAUCUGAGAUCUUUACAGGGACGUUGCCUGUUAUAGAGAAGAUACUUUGUGUCUCUUUCCUGCCUGAAACUGCACUAACAUUAAGAAAAAAGCCUUUUCGAGCUGCGGGACUUCCAUUCCAUCUGGGAUGCCUUCCAUGCGUUUCAGGGAGGUUAAAUUCCCGUUUCUCCCAACCGCGGAUAAAAUAACCCCAUGAAUCCCCGUAUCCACAAGUUGGCGGAUCAGCCUCAUUUUAGUGUCAUAUUUUUUCUGACUUAGUUCUAACACUAUCUGCUAUCUUACUUUCUGCACCAAGGGCUCUUACGCUCAGGGAAUAACCUUGAUUUGAGAAAAUAUUUUUUUAAAGGGACAAACAGCUGAUUAUUGAAACUCGCUGCCGUCGCUCUCCUCGUCCACACCACUUGUUUCCUGGGGAUCGCUGCUGCGGAUCUCAGCAGUGGUUCCCCGAAGCCUCCCAAGGGUGACCCGGUGGUUGGGUUGCGACCCUGUAAGGGAGUUUUAGUUCUCCAAGGACUAAGGACCAGCUCUGACCCCCACGCUGCAGGACUUUGCCUUUGGAUCCAUUCUUAACUUCAUUUCCAAGCUCUAUAAAGACUAUUAAGCCCCCUGCUGAAGAUCUGGACUUUCCACAAAUGAUUUUUAUACUUCAAUUUCUCCUAUUAUUCUAUGAAUUCUUCCCCCCUUAUAUUAGUUAUGUACCUGUGAAAUAUUGGACCCUAUUCCUUAUUAAUUGUUUAAUUGAACAUGACUUGGAUAUGGAUUCCCUGGAAGAUUCCUAACUCACCUAUUUCCCUUUAUGCGUGUUUCAUAUCGAAGGGAGCCUGGAUUUCCCUCACUUCUCCCUCCCCGAAUGAACUGCGGAGCUACGAGCUACCCCCAGCCCCUAUCGCCAGUCAUAUCUUCUUCAUUUCAACCCCAAACAUUGCCCCUUUUCAUAUCCCUAACUAAACCGCUUCUCCUUCAAAAGGAGACCAUCCGUUUCCAAAUUGAUAAGGUUUCUUAAGGCAAAUCAGCUGAUUGUCAAAUAGGUCCGCACUUUACAGUUUCUCUUUCUCGCGGCUGGCUGUUCGUUCGCUGUUUGUGAAGCCUCCAAAACCUCCUUCCAGUAACUUUUUGGUUCCAAUUUUCUUCAGAUUAUUCAAUGAGACCUUCCUGUAUGAAUUAUGAACUAUGGGUUCAAAAUUGUAUAAAUGUUUAUCACUUUUAUUAAUUGUUAUAGAUGAGAUGGUUUGGAUAUGGUUUCCUGGUAAUUCCUAUAUUUCUGGAUUUUCCCUACAUGUGUUUGACCUUACCCUGAACUUCCCUCCAGCCCCAUAAGGGAGCACCCUGUCACUGAAGGGAGCGAUUAGCCACCCAUAAAGAUUUUAUCAUAAACACAUUUGCAUGGAACAAGAAAAGUAGGAGAUUUUCUUGACCUCGGAGCUGGCCCAUCAAGAGAAAUCUCCAUAUGGAAAACCUUAACCACUUAACAUUGGGGCUCAGCGGGACUGUCGGAAGGUUCUGCCCCCCGUAGCAAUUGCCUGACUUUCCAUAUUGAACGUUCACCCCAGCUUCACCCUUUUGGGAAAUCAUAAUCUGUUGGGAACAGGAAGACCGGACAUAACCCUAUCAAUGUCUCAUUCAUAAACAAUAGGACUAGACUCCCCUAGAAGGCUUAUUCAGCCUCGGGGAGUCGAUAGGCAUGCAAAUCACAUAUGAUUCAUUAAUCAAGACAUUAUUUCUCCUUGUCCCACCUCCCUCUCUCCUGAUUCAUCAGUUGCGGAAGCGAAGGGAGCCUGUGAUUGGCUCCAACACGGGGUGGGCAGCCAAGCCCCUCCCCAGCUGAGGCACGCCAGCCAAUCGGUGAUGACUUGGGCGGGGGGAAGAGGGCGGGAAAUUUGAAGAGACUUCACCUUGAUUUUGUUAUAAAAAUGGCUUGUACUUCUGUAAUGGCAUGCUUUGCCUGACGAAUUAUUGCGGCAUCGCAUCCGCUUCAGCUGAAUCGCUAAUAAAGAUCACCUCGGUGGCAUUUUCUUCAA